UCCUCGGUAGUAUAGUGGUGAGUAUCCGCGCCUGUCACGUGCGAGACAAGGGUUCGAAUGCCGGCCGGGGAG
rnacentral:tRNA from 1 species